rnacentral:rRNA from 1 species
GACGAACGCUGGCGGCGUGCUUAACACAUGCAAGUCGAACGCUGAAGCUCAGCUUGCUGGGUGGAUGAGUGGCGAACGGGUGAGUAACACGUGAGUAACCUGCCCUCUUCUUUGGGAUAACGCCCGGAAACGGGUGCUAAUACUGGAUAUUCACUGAUUCUCGCAUGGGGGUUGGUGGAAAGGUUUUUUCUGGUGGGGGAUGGGCUCGCGGCCUAUCAGCUUGUUGGUGGGGUGAUGGCCUACCAAGGCUGUGACGGGUAGCCGGCCUGAGAGGGUGACCGGUGACAUUGGGACUGAGAUACGGCCCAGACUCCGACGGGAGGCAGCAGUGGGGAAUAUUGCACAAUGGGCGAAAGCCUGAUGCAGCGACGCGGCGUGAGGGAUGGAGGCCUUCGGGUUGGAAACCUCUUUCGCUCAUGGUCAAGCCGCAGCUUUGGGUUGUGGUGAGGGUAGUGGGUAAAGAAGCGCCGGCUAACUACGUG